AUUGAACGCUGGCGGCAGGCUUAACACAUGCAAGUCGAGCGAGCGGCGGACGGGUGAGUAAUGUCUGGGCAACUGCCUGAUGGAGGGGGAUAACUACUGGAAACGGUAGCUAAUACCGCAUACCAUCGGAUGUGCCCAGAUGGGAUGAGCUAGUUGGUGGGGGAAAGGCUCACCUAGGAGCCGCUCCCUAGCUGGUCUGAGAGGAUGACCAGCCAAACUGGAACUGAGACACGGUCCAGACUCCUAGGGGAGGCAGAAGUGGGGAAUAUUGCACAAUGGGCGCAAGCCUGAUGCAGCCAUGCCGCGUGGAUGAAGAAGGCCUUCGGGUUGUAAAGUACUUUCAGCGGGGAGGCGUUACCCGCAGAAGAAGCACCGGCUAACUCCGUGCCAGCAGCCGCGGUAAUUC
rnacentral:rRNA from 1 species